rnacentral:rRNA from 1 species
CGCAUCUGUGCAUGCAGCAUAUCAAUAAGCGGAGGAAAAGAAACUAACAAGGAUUCCCCUUAGUAACGGCGAGUGAAGCGGGAAGAGCUCAAAUUUGAAAUCUUAAAGGUUUCACCUUGACGAAUUGUAGUUUAAAGAAGUGUUUUCUGUUGAAGUUUUGGUAAAAGUUCUUUGGAAUAGGACAUCAUAGAGGGUGAGAAUCCCGUAUUUGACCAUUAUUUUCAGCUUUUGUGAUACACUUUCAAGGAGUCGGAUUGUUUGGGAAUGCAGUCCAAAAUGGGUGGUAAAUUUCAUCUAAAGCUAAAUAUUGGCGAGAGACCGAUAGCGAACAAGUACCGUGAGGGAAAGAUGAAAAGAACUUUGAAAAGAGAGUUAAACAGUACGUGAAAUUGUCAAAAGGGAAGCGUUUGACACCAGUGUUGUUUUUCUGAAAAUCAAUUAAAGAACUGUUUAUGCUAAGCUGUUUAGACUUUAUCAGCUAUCUGUUUAGUUUUGAGCUUUUCUUUAAUGCACUUUUCAGUUAACAAGUCAACAUCAAUUUCUUUUGCUGUAAAAAAGCUUGAGGAAGGUGGCUUGAGAUUCGUCUUAAGUGUUUAUAGCCUCUUGCCUAUGCAGUCGGAGAGAUUGAGGUCUGCAGCGUAGAUCCUUCGGGGCUAAAUGCAUUUGUGCUAAGUUAUAACAUUUUAUAGACAACUUGUUGACUAUGAUUUGUCUUGUAGCUUACUCGCUUAUGUUAUUUUACCUACGCUUAGGAUGUUGAUAGUCACAGCGUGUAC